rnacentral:rRNA from 1 species
GACGAACGCUGGCGGCGUGCUUAACACAUGCAAGUCGAACGGAAAGGCCCUGCUUGCAGGGUACUCGAGUGGCGAACGGGUGAGUAACACGUGGGUGAUCUGCCCUGCACUUCGGGAUAAGCCUGGGAAACUGGGUCUAAUACCGGAUAGGAGCCAUUUUUAGUGUGAUGGUUGGAAAGUUUUUUCGGUGUAGGAUGAGCUCGCGGCCUAUCAGCUUGUUGGUGGGGUAAUGGCCUACCAAGGCGGCGACGGGUAGCCGGCCUGAGAGGGUGGACGGCCACAUUGGGACUGAGAUACGGCCCAGACUCCUACGGGAGGCAGCAGUGGGGAAUAUUGCACAAUGGGCGCAAGCCUGAUGCAGCGACGCCGCGUGGGGGAUGACGGCCUUCGGGUUUUAAACUCCUUUCGCUAGGGACGAAGCUUUUUGUGACGGUACCUAGAUAAGAAGCACCGGCUAACUACGUG